GGGUAUAUAGCUCAGUGGUAGUAGAGUGGGUGCUCAGCAUGCACAACGUCCUGGGUUCAAUCCCCAGUACCUUCA
rnacentral:tRNA from 1 species